rnacentral:lncRNA from 1 species
ACGAGAAUUGCUGAUUUUGGAUUGUGUUUAAUUUCUUCAUCAAGGAUUUCUAGAUGCUCUUUUACCACUGGAAGCACAAACGCAUAUUCGUUCGAUUUUGCUGGGCUGAAAAAGGAAGGUAGGUCAUAGACACUAAGCACUGGCAAAUUUGGUAAAUUGAGCAAAAGUGUAGCACUAUUAAUUGUUUUCUCUAUUAUUUCACCAUAGCCAUUGAAAUAAUGGUAGUAGAUACUGAAAACCGUGGCAGGUUGACUCCAGAGAAGUGCCGAUGGGAGGUGAAAUUCACGCGCCACCUUAGCUACCCAUGGAAUGAGAAUAGAGUAUACUACAAAAGUAAAUGGGUGGCCAUCAUUAGAAGCUUGCUGUAUU